UCUUAUGGAUGAGCAAAGAAAGUGGUUUUUUGAGAUGGAAUCCACUUUUGGUGAAGAUGCCGUGAA
rnacentral:pre_miRNA from 2 species